UACGUAGGGUGCAAGCGUUAAUCGGAAUUACUGGGCGUAAAGCGUGCGCAGGCGGUUAUGUAAGACAGAUGUGAAAUCCCCGGGCUCAACCUGGGACCUGCAUUUGUGACUGCAUAGCUAGAGUACGGCAGAGGGGGAUGGAAUUCCUGGUGUAGCAGUGAAAUGCGUAGAUAUCAGGAGGAACACCGAUGGCGAAGGCAGGUCUCUGGGCUGACACUGACGCUCAUGCACGAAAGCGUGGGGAGCAAACAGG
rnacentral:rRNA from 1 species